CCUAGUUGAUCCUGCCAGUAGUCAUAUGCUUGUCUCAAAGAUUAAGCCAUGCAUGUCUAAGUAUGGACUAAUUCAGAUUGUGAAACUGCGGAUGGCUCAUUAAAUUAGUUAUAGUUUUUUUUAUGGUACCAUACUACUCGGAUAACCAUAGUAAUUCUAGAGUUAAUACGUGCACCAAGUCCUCACCCUUUGGAAGGGAUGCAUUUUUUAGAUAAAAGGCCAGCGCGGGCUUGCCCGCUUCUCCGGUGAAUCAUGAUAACUCGACGGAUCGCACAGCCCUUGUGCUGGCGAUGCUUCAUUCAAGUUUCUGCCCUAUCAAAUUUCGAUGGUAGGAUAGAGGCCUACCAUGGUGGUGAUGGGUGAUGGAGAAUUAGGGUUCGAUUAUGGAGAGGGAGCCUGAGAAACGGCUACCACAUCCAAGGAAGGUAGGAGGCACGCAAAUUACCCAAUCCUGACAUGGGGAGGUAGUGACAAUAAAUAAUAAUAUUGGGCUCAUCGAGUCUGGUAAUUGGAAUGAGUACAAUCUAAAUCCUUUAAUGAGGAUCCAUUGGUGGGCAAGUCUGGUGCUAGCAGCCGCGUUAAUUCCAGCUCCAAUAGCAUAUAUUUAAUUUGUUGCAGUUAAAAAGCUCAUAGUUGGAUCUUGGGUCGUAAAGGUCGGUCUGCCUACUCGGUGUGCACCUGCCCUUCCUUCCCUUUUGUCGGCGGCGUGCUCUUGGCCUUUAUUGGCUGGGUCGCAGCUCCGGCGCUGUUACUUUGAAAAAAUUAGAGUGCUCAAAGCAAGCUUAUGCUCUGAAUACAUUAGCAUGGAAUAACAUGAUAGGAGUCUGGUCCUAUUGUGUUGGCCUUCGGGGCUGGAGUAAUGAUUAAUAGGGACUGAAGUGGGUAUUGGUAUUUCAUUGUCAGAGGUGAAAUUCUUGGAUUUAUGAAAGACGGACCACUGCGAAAGCAUUUUCCAAGGAUGUUUUCAUUGAUCAAGAACGAAAGUUGGGGGCUCGAAGACGAUCAGAUACCGUCCUAGUCUCAACCAUAAAUGAUGCCGACCAGGGAUCGGUGGAUGUUGCUUUAAGGACUCCACCAACACCUUCUGAGCAAUCAGAGUGUUUGGGUUCUGGGGGGAGUAUGGUCGCAAGGCUGAAACUUAAAGGAAUUGACGGAAGGGCACCACCAGGAGUGGAGCCUGCGGCUUAAUUUGACUCAACACGGGGAAACUUACUAAGUCCAGACAUAGUAAGGAUUGACAGAUUGAGAGCUCUUUCUUGAUUCUAUGGGUGGUGGUGCAUGGCCAUUCUUAGUGGUGGAGCGAUUUGUCUGGUUAAUUCCGAUAACGAACGAGACCUCAGCCUGCUAACUAGCUACACGGAGGUUCCCCUUCGCGGCCAGCUUCUUAGAGGGACUAUGGCUGUUUAGGCCAUGGAAGUUUGAGGCAAUAACAGGUAUGUGAUGCCCUUAGAUGUUCUGGGCUGCACACACGCUACACUGAUGCAGCAAACGAGCUUUUCUUCCUGGUUCGAGAGGAUCGGGAAAUAUUCUCAAAUUGCAUCGUGAUGGGGAUAGACCAUUGCAAUUAUUGGUCUUCAACGAGGAAUUCCUAGUAAGCACGUGUCAUCAGCUCAUGUUGACAACGUCCCUGCCCUUUGUACACAACGCCCGUCGCUCCUACCGAUUGAAUGAUCUGGUGAGGUGUUCGGAUUGCGUCAACGAUGGUGGUUCGCCACCAUCGAUGUCGUGAUAAGUUCAUUGAACCUUAUCAUUUAGAGGAAGGAGAAGUCGUAACAAGGUUACCGUAGGUGAACUUGCGGUAG
rnacentral:rRNA from 1 species